rnacentral:rRNA from 1 species
GACGUAGGGCGCGAGCGUUGUCCGGAUUUAUUGGGCGUAAAGAGCGUGUAGGCGGCCAGGUAGGUCUGCUGUGAAAACUCGAGGCUUAACCUCGAGAUGUCGGCGGAAACCAUCUGGCUAGAGUCCGGAAGAGGAGAGUGGAAUUCCUGGUGUAGCGGUGAAAUGCGCAGAUAUCAGGAAGAACACCCGUGGCGAAGGCGGCUCUCUGGGGACGGUACUGACGCUGAGACGCGAAAGCGUGGGGAGCGAACAGG